AUGAACGCUGCCAGAAUGCUUCACACAUGCAAGUCUUUGGCGAAGCUGUGCUUGCACAGCCUAGCCAAGGCGGACGGGUGAGUAACGCGUAAGGAACUUGCCCUGCAGUCAGGGAUAACAGACGGAAACGACUGAUAAGACCUGGUAAAGUCAGGCGGACUCAUGUCCAGCCUGAUGAAAAGAGAUGCUGCAGGAGAGCCUUGCGUCCUAUUAGCUUGUUGGUGGGGUAACGGCCCACCAAGGCGAUGAUAGGUAGCCGGCCUGAGAGGGUGGACGGCCACAAGGGGACUGAGAUACGGCCCUUACUCCUACGGGAGGCAGCAGUGGGGAAUAUUGGACAAUGGGGGCAACCCUGAUCCAGCAAUUCUGUGUGCACGAUGAAGGUUUUCGGAUUGUAAAGUGCUUUCAGCAGGGAAGAAAAAAAUGACGGUACCUGCAGAAGAAGCGACGGCUAAAUACGUG
rnacentral:rRNA from 1 species